AUGAAACAUAAAAAAUUCUGUAAUUUGAAGCAAGCAGAAAACAGUCUCAUUGUUUUCAGAGCUGUUCCAAGAUCAUUGUGCUUGCUUCAGCAAGAAACCUCAAGUGCAGAGCUGAAAACUGAAUGUGCAGUGGUGCUGGGAGGUCUUUCUAUGGGCACUGAAAACAAUGUCAAGUCUCUACUGACUCGUUUAAUCCCAGCCUUGCAACAAGAACUGCUGUCCCCAGACCUGAAGUUCACUGAAGCUUGUCUCCAAUGCCUGCAUACCAUUUUCUCUAGACUUGUUACUCCAAAGGAGGUACUGUAUACAGAUGCCACAGUGACACUGCACCUCAUGGCACUGCUUUGCAGGUUCCACUAUACCCAGGAGUACAUCUGUUGUAUUGUCUCACACUGUUGUAAAGGGCCAGAUCAUCAAACAAUUUUAUGUAGCCAUGGCGUAGUUCAGAACACUGCUCAGCUACUAACCUCACUGUUCUACAAAGUUCAAAUGCAAGCACUGAACUGUUUCUCAGUUUUACCAGGAGCAUCCUACAUCCUGGUAAAUGUUUUGGUUGAUGUAGAAUUGUUAUCACAGAUUUUUGUGAAGAUGUUACGGAGGGCUAAGUAUAUUGAGAUACAGCUUACAUCAGCAAAAUGUUAAACUCACAUGCAUACAGCUGGAACAAUUCAGACAGAUAACAACUGUAUUAAAGACAUUGCCUUGUUUGUGCAGUAAGAAGAGAUUACUAGAGGAGAGAGUUAAAGAAGCUGAGACACUUGCCUAUCUGACUGAACCAGAUAUUGACCUACAGAGAAUCGCCAGCAUAACUGCUCACCUCAUUGCCGUUUUCUGACUGUUUCCAGUAUCCCAACUCAUUGAGUGCCAUCACUGAUAUUAAAAGACUUGAUCAUGAUUUAAAACAUGUACAUGAAUUCUGCCAGGCUGCAUUCAAGCUCUAUGACUCUCUUGGAGCAAAUGAUGAAGACAUUCAGAAGAAGAGCACUGAGACUGAAAAAUACGAUGGGCUGAAUUGUGGCUGGCUUGUCUGAGUCUAGUGUCAAGGUGUGGUUAGCUGCUGUCAGAUGUUUGCACCCUUUAUAGAGAUCUGUGCAGCAGCUUCAAAACAGUUUCUAGGAUCACAUUGUCUGAAAACAUUUAAUGAAGGUUUUACAAAAUGCACCAGAUGAAAUCUUAGUGGUAGCAUCUUCCACAAUAUGUAAUCUUCUGGAAUUUUCUCCAGGAAAAGAGCCAAUUUUAAAAUCAGGAGUUGUAGAGCUACUUUGUAGAUUAACCCAGAGUGAAAAUCCUGCUUUACAAGUGAAUAGAAUUUGGGCUUUAAUGAAUAUGGCAUUUCAGGUUGAACAAAAAAUAAAAGCAAACAUUUUACAAAGCUUGAAUACUGAACAGAUAUUCCGGAUGUUAUCAGAUUCAGAUUUGAAUGUGCUGAUGAAGACACUGGGACUUCUUAGAAAUC